rnacentral:rRNA from 1 species
AGUGAACGCUGGCGGCGUGCCUAAUACAUGCAAGUCGAACGAAGUGGCGCACGGGUGAGUAAUAUAUAGUUAAUCUGCCCUCCACCGAGGAACAACAGUUGGGAACGACUUCUAAUACAUCAUAGGGUAGGAUGUGACUAUAUCGUAUCAGCUAGUUGGUACGGUACUGGCUUAACAAGGCUAUGACGCGUAACUGGUCAGAGAGGAUGAUCAGUGACAUUGGAGCUGAGACACCGUCGGAAAUCUUACGCGAGGCAGGAGUAAGGGAUGGUGCGCAAUGGCGGAAACCCUGACGCAGUAACGCUGCGUGGAGGAUGACACUUGUCGGAGCGUAAACCCCUUUUAUCAGGAAAGCGUAACCUGAUGAAUAAGCACGGGCUAACUCCGUGCCAGCAGCCCGGUAAUUC